rnacentral:rRNA from 1 species
AACAAACGCUGGCGGCGUGCCUAAUACAUGCAAGUCGAACGGGGAAAGCUUUCGGGUGAGUACUAGUGGCGCACGGGUGAGUAACGCGUGGAUAAUCUGCCUUAGAGUGGGGGAUAACUAGUCGAAAGAUUAGCUAAUACCGCAUAAGACCACAAGAACUGCGGUUCAAGGGGUCAAAGGUUUUUCGCUCUAAGAUGAGUCCGCGUAAGAUUAGCUAGUUGGUAGGGUAACGGGCUACCAAGGCGACGAUCUUUAACUGGUCUGAGAGGAUGAUCAGUCACACUUGAACUGAGACACGGUCCAGACUCCUACGGGAGGCAGCAGUAGGGAAUAUUGCACAAUGGAGGAAACACUGAUGCAGCGAAGCCGCGUGAGUGAUGAAGGCCUUCGGGUCGGAAAGCUCUGUCGCAGAGGAAUAACACAAUGAAGGUACCCUGUAAGAAAGGAUCGGCUAACUUCGUGCCAGCCGCCGCAGUAAGAC